AGUGAACGCUGGCGGUAGGCCUAACACAUGCAAGUCGAACGGCAGCACAGUAAGAGCUUGCUCCUACGGGUGGCGAGUGGCGGACGGGUGAGGAAUACAGCGGACUCUACUUUUUCGUGGGGGAUAACGUAGGGAAACUUCCGCUAAUAACGCAUCCGACCUUCGUGUGAAAGCAGGGGAUCUUCGGACCUUGCGCGAUUGACUGAGCCGAUGUCGGAUUAGCUAGUUGGCGGGGUAAAGGCCCACCAAGGCGACGAUCCGUAGCUGGUCUGAGAGGAGGAUCAGGCACACUGGGACUGAGACACGAUCCAGAGUCCUACGGGAGGCAGUAGUGGGGAAUAUUGGACAAUGGGCGCAAGCCUGAUCCAGCCAUACCGCGUUGGUGAAGAAGGCCUUCGGGUUGUAAAGCCCUUUUGUUGGGAAAGAAAAGCAGCAGGUUAAUACCCCGCUGUUCUGACGGUACCCAAAGAAUAAGCACCGGCUAACUUCGUG
rnacentral:rRNA from 1 species